GAUGAUGGCUGUCACGGUGUCGUCUCAACGAUGGAAAAUCCAACUAGGACUAAUCUUUCGAGACUAAAGGUCCCUUUUUUAAUCCCGAGUAUUUCACCUGGGACUAAAGAUCACCUUUACUCCCAGUUGGUAUUACCACCCGGGACUAAAAAAGUUCAAAAAAAAUUUAAAAAAAAAGUGGACCACCAUCGUCCUGCCUGCUCGCGUCGUUGUCCCCUUGCAGCUCCGCCUUAACCACCAUACCACCGAGCUCCAACUCCAUGCAGGAACAAUCAAAACAAUUAACACUUCACAAAUUGAAGCAAGAGACACGCUAACAUACAACCAAUCAAUUUGCACAACAUUUUGAUUCACAACACAUGAGUUCGAUUUGAUUCACAACACUACACAAUCACAAAUGAAUAAUUCACAAACAAAUCAUGCACUACCACACACAAAGGAAAUAUUCAACGGCUUGUCCUAUCCACAAGCUCCCCCG
rnacentral:lncRNA from 1 species